rnacentral:rRNA from 1 species
UGACGAGGCGCUACGGCGCUGAAGUGAUUGAUACCAAGCUUCCAGGAAAAGCCACUAAGCUUCAGUCUAGAGUUGACCGUACCGCAAACCGACACAGGUGGGCAGGAUGAAAAUUCUAAGGCGCUUGAGAGAACUCAGGAGAAGGAACUCGGCAAAUUAACACCGUAACUUCGGGAGAAGGUGUGCCCCGGUAGCGUGUAGAGACUUGCUCUCGAAGCGCGAUGGGGUUGCAGUGAAAUGGUGGCUGCGACUGUUUAAUAAAAACACAGCACUCUGCAAACACGAAAGUGGACGUAUAGGGUGUGACGCCUGCCCGGUGCCGGAAGGUUAAUUGAUGGGGUGCAAGCUCUUGAUCGAAGCCCCGGUAAACGGCGGCCGUAACAAUAACGGUCCUAAGGUAGCGAAAUUCCUUGUCGGGUAAGUUCCGACCUGCACGAAUGGCGUAACGAUGGCCACACUGUCUCCUCCUGAGACUCAGCGAAGUUGAAAUGUUUGUGAAGAUGCAAUCUACCCGCGGCUAGACGGAAAGACCCCAUGAACCUUUACUGUAGCUUUGCAUUGGACUUUGAACCGGUUUGUGUAGGAUAGGUGGGAGACUGUGAAGCUGGGACGCUAGUUUCGGUGGAGUCAACCUUGAAAUACCACCCUGAUUUGUUUGAGGUUCUAACCUUGGUCCGUGAAUCCGGAUCGGGGACCGUGCAUGGUAGGCAGUUUGACUGGGGCGGUCUCCUCCCAAAACGUAACGGAGGAGUACGAAGGUACGCUUAGGGCGGUCGGACAUCGCCCACAAAGUGCAAUGGCAAAAGCGUGCUUGACUGCGAGACCCACAAGUCGAGCAGGUACGAAAGUAGGUCAUAGUGAUCCGGUGGUUCUGUAUGGAAGGGCCAUCGCUCAACGGAUAAAAGGUACUCUGGGGAUAACAGGCUAAUUCCUCCCAAGAGUUCAUAUCGACGGGGGAGUUUGGCACCUCGAUGUCGGCUCAUCACAUCCUGGGGCUGUAGUCGGUCCCAAGGGUAUGGCUGUUCGCCAUUUAAAGUGGUACGCGAGCUGGGUUUAAAACGUCGUGAGACAGUUUGGUCCCUAUCUGCCGUGGGCGCUGGAAAUUUGAAGGGGGCUGCUCCUAGUACGAGAGGACCGGAGUGGACGAACCUCUGGUGUACCGGUUAUGACGCCAGUCGUAUUGCCGGGUAGCUAAGUUCGGAAGAGAUAAACGCUGAAAGCAUCUAAGCGUGAAACUCGCCUUAAGAUUAGAUUUCCCGGAGUCUUGAACUCCCUGAAGGGUCGUCGAAGACCACGACGUUGAUAGGUCAGGUGUGGAAGCGCAGUAAUGCGUUAAGCUAACUGAUACUAAUUGCCCGUGCGGCUUGAUCAG